GCUGAGUUAAAAUGGGGAAAAGAGAAAGAAGAGGGAAAGAAGAUUAGGGUUUUGAGGAAGGGGAGGAGAUCGGAUCAGAACCGACGCCGGAGAACCGAGUCCCCAAUCUAAACCGUUGAAUAGCUCGAGGCAAGGUGCUCUCACGAAUCGCACCUUCCUAUUUCGACAAAACGUUCAAGAACUUCAGGUUAGUCCACGAGUAUCUACAUUGAGAAGUCAUCAAGAUUUUCGUGUGCUAGCAACGUUUUGUGUUGAUCCUUGGACUCUUACCCCCCAACAGCGCUAUCUGGUUAAGUUCCAAAGUGAAGGCGGCCAAGAUCGGCGUUCAAAUCGGAGUUUAAAGAUAACGUGAUUUUCGGACCUGUGAAGAAAAUUCCAGAAUUGUUGGAAUCCAUUCCGUCAAGAAAACUCGAACUCGGGAAGGCACGCGUCGACCAAGUAAGUAGCCAUUUGGAUUUCCACGAGCAGUACUUGUAGGAACCGCUAGGAACAAGCAUGCAUGCUACCACCUAUGAAAUUAGCUAGCCCGACUUAGCGUCUUAUUAUAGAAACUGCGAAUAUAAGAUGAUUAUGGAAAGCUAGAUACAAAAUGUGUAUUAAAUCUGUUUUGGUUGGGACUCUGAUAAUGUAUGUAUGCAUGAGGAGGUUGGGAAACUUGUGAAAUCUGCGCUCCGGGUAAAGAUGGACGUUAUCUUCCCGUUGAGCAUGUUUGAUAAUUUUGCAUGAACUGCUGCGUGUAAACUCUAUUGUAUGAUGAUUGUUUGGAUUAUCUUUCUGGAUGAAUAGGAAGAAAUUAUGAGCUUUAUUAGGAUGCUUAUGGCUAAAUUAGCUAGACGAGACCCUGGAUUGGGGGACCUCUAGAAUACCGUGCAAUUAGACCCGCGAAAUGAUUACCGGCGGAACCAGAACCCAGAAUUCCAAACCCGAUAGGUUUGUGACACCAGGCACGAGAGUCCUAGAGAAAUACGAAUCUAAGUCUAAGGCACCAAGUUCCACCCUAGAAAGAAUAAUAGGUCACCACGGUAACUGUAGGUAGCCCGCUAGAGUUGAGCAGUGAAGAUAGUGUCAUCAGAACCUCCACUUCCCUCUCUCCUCCGAUACCAUACCGUCGAGACAGAGCUCCGGUACGGUGAUCGUUGAGCUUUGCAGAUCCGGAUAGGGAAGUGUGACAGGUGCCCAGACCUAGUGGUGAUAGCUAAGGGGUCUUCUGAACAGGACUCCUGGGCCGUAGAAACCCGUCCCUGAGCGGGGGACGUGGAGCCACUUAGGAUGACUCAGUAGCUGACCGGCACAUAGGGGGUCGCACCCCGUUUUGUGGAUGUAUGGUCCCGUGUGAGGGUCGUCAGUUAACCUCCACGGAUGAUGUUCAGAGAGAGAGUCACGUAUUCAGAUCCAGCCAUACGAUCCCCUCAGAUUUGCUUAUGAGGUCGCGCCUCACCUCAGGACACUGAUCAUUUCAC